UGGGGAAUUUUGGACAAUUGGGCGAAAGCCUGAUCCAGCAAUGCCGCGUGUGUGAAGAAGGCCUUCGGGUUGUAAAGCACUUUUGUCCGGAAAGAAAUCCUUGGCUCUAAUACAGUCGGGGGAUGACGGUACCGGAAGAAUAAGCACCGGCUAACUACGUGCCAGCAGCCGCGGUAAUACGUAGGGUGCAAGCGUUAAUCGGAAUUACUGGGCGUAAAGCGUGCGCAGGCGGUUUGCUAAGACCGAUGUGAAAUCCCCGGGCUCAACCUGGGAACUGCAUUGGUGACUGGCAGGCUAGAGUAUGGCAGAGGGGGGUAGAAUUCCACGUGUAGCAGUGAAAUGCGUAGAGAUGUGGAGGAAUACCGAUGGCGAAGGCAGCCCCCUGGGCCAAUACUGACGCUCAUGCACGAAAGCGUGGGGAGCAAACAGGAUUAGAUACCCUGGUAGUCCACGCCCUAAACGAUGUCAACUAGUUGUUGGGGAUUCAUUUCCUUAGUAACGUAGCUAACGCGUGAAGUUGACCGCCUGGGGAGUACGGUCGCAAGAUUAAAACUUAAAU
rnacentral:rRNA from 1 species